rnacentral:rRNA from 1 species
UACGAAGGGUGCAAGCGUUAGUCGGAAUUACUGGGCGUAAAGGGUGCGUAGGCGGUUCGUUAAGUCUGUCGUGAAAUCCCCGGGCUCAACCUGGGAAUGGCGAUGGAUACUGGCGAGCUAGAGUGUGUCAGAGGAUGGUGGAAUUCCCGGUGUAGCGGUGAAAUGCGUAGAGAUCGGGAGGAACAUCAGUGGCGAAGGCGGCCAUCUGGGACAACACUGACGCUGAAGCACGAAAGCGUGGGGAGCAAACAGG